rnacentral:rRNA from 1 species
UACGGGAGCAGCAGUGGGGAAUAUUGCACAAUGGGCGCAAGCCUGAUGCAGCCAUGCCGCGUGUAUGAAGAAGGCCUUCGGGUUGUAAAGUACUUUCAGUCGUGAGGAAGGUGUUAAGGUUAAUAACCUUAGCAAUUGACGUUAGCGACAGAAGAAGCACCGGCUAACUCCGUGCCAGCAGCCGCGGUAAUACGGAGGGUGCGAGCGUUAAUCGGAAUUACUGGGCGUAAAGGGCACGCAGGCGGUUAAUUAAGUUGGAUGUGAAAUCCCCGGGCUUAACCUGGGAAUGGCAUUCAAGACUGGUUAGCUAGAGUCUUGUAGAGGGGGUAGAAUUCCAUGUGUAGCGGUGAAAUGCGUAGAGAUGUGGAGGAAUACCGGUGGCGAAAGGCGGCCCCUGGACAAAGACUGACGCUCAUGUGCGAAAGCGUGGGGAGCAAAC